GCUUGCUGCUUUGCUGACGAGUGGCGGACGGGUGAGUAAUGUCUGGGAAACUGCCUGAUGGAGGGGGAUAACUACUGGAAACGGUAGCUAAUACCGCAUAACGUCGCAAGACCAAAGAGGGGGACCUUCGGGCCUCUUGCCAUCGGAUGUGCCCAGAUGGGAUUAGCUUGUUGGUGGGGUAACGGCUCACCAAGGCGACGAUCCCUAGCUGGUCUGAGAGGAUGACCAGCCACACUGGAACUGAGACACGGUCCAGACUCCUACGGGAGGCAGCAGUGGGGAAUAUUGCACAAUGGGCGCAAGCCUGAUGCAGCCAUGCCGCGUGUAUGAAGAAGGCCUUCGGGUUGUAAAGUACUUUCAGCGGGGAGGAAGGGAGUAAAGUUAAUACCUUUGCUCAUUGACGUUACCCGCAGAAGAAGCACCGGCUAACUCCGUGCCAGCAGCCGCGGUAAUACGGAGGGUGCAAGCGUUUAAUCGGAAUUACUGGGCGUAAAGCGCACGCAGGCGGUUUGUUAAGUCAGAUGUGAAAUCCCCGGGCUCAACCUGGGAACUGCAUCUGAUACUGGGAAGCUU
rnacentral:rRNA from 1 species